rnacentral:rRNA from 1 species
UGGGGAAUAUUGCACAAUGGGCGCAAGCCUGAUGCAGCCAUGCCGCGUGUAUGAAGAAGGCCUUCGGGUUGUAAAGUACUUUCAGCGAGGAGGAAGGCGGUAAGGUUAAUAAACUUAUCGAUUGACGUUACUCGCAGAAGAAGCACCGGCUAACUCCGUGCCAGCAGCCGCGGUAAUACGGAGGGUGCAAGCGUUAAUCGGAAUUACUGGGCGUAAAGCGCACGCAGGCGGUCUGUCAAGUCGGAUGUGAAAUCCCCGGGCUCAACCUGGGAACUGCAUUCGAAACUGGCAGGCUAGAGUCUUGUAGAGGGGGGUAGAAUUCCAGGUGUAGCGGUGAAAUGCGUAGAGAUCUGGAGGAAUACCGGUGGCGAAGGCGGCCCCCUGGACAAAGACUGACGCUCAGGUGCGAAAGCGUGGGGAGCAAACA